CAUUAUUUUAGUCUUUUUAGAGCCAGAUCUAAAACAAAAGACAUUUGCUUAUUUCAUCAUUCAAACACUAUCUUAUUGUAUUUCUACGCCAUAACCGGUUUUAUACGCAAUCUUAGUACGUAUUACCAUAGACAGUAGCGUAUUACUCGUAUGAGAAUUGGAAUUUACCCCAUGUUUCUUUCCGGCUUGAAAUGCUUCCGUCUGUACGAAUGAUUGGUUAAACUCUGCAGUCAAGUGAUUGUUUAUUGGUGGAGGAGACAUCCCUCAUGUUGAGCCAGCAUUCUGUGUUUUCAGUUUACGAGUGCGUUACAUCUAGAUGGAAACCUUUUACACAAGUACAUUUUUAUUACUGCUUUUCAAAAUACACGUAAUACAUUUAAAUGUUCUGUUUGAUAUGACGUAAGCUGUUCACAAUCACUUGCUAAAAUAACCCGACGAUAGUUGUAGGUUGCACCUAAAUAACUAACUAACCAACCUAUCUGUCGAUCAGAGUUGAAAACGGGUGAGCAUUCAUUAAUGAUGAAAAAAUUGCCUUUGUUUGUAGAAAGUUUGUAGAUUGAAUCCUAGAUUAAACACAACUUGGAAGUAUGGAUCACUAAUCAUUGUAAGCUACUUCAUUUGUAUAUUUAUCUAUUCAAUGUUAAUGUUGCUGUGUAGUAGUGAAGAUCUGAGCUAAUAACUUUUACUGUAGCCAUUUCCCUGAAUGAUCUUUGCUAUAGUGUGAGCAGUUUAUUGACUCUGUCCAAUAAUGACAGUGUGUAAUUUCAUGAAUUGACACGUAUUUAACGGUUUGGGGGAACAUUGUCAUUCAGAUAGAUGGAGGUGGGUCUUUAGAUGCUUGGUGACAGUAUUGUACAUAUUCUGUGUAUUCUGGCUUCAGCACAUUUACAUGUAAAAUGGUAUUAUCACUAUUAGGUUAUACAAAACAGAAUAACAGAAAACUCCCACUUCACAAUUUUUUUGAUGGUUUGUUCUACUUUAACCCUCUAUGGUAUGAAGUUGCCAUGACAACUGAAUGUCCCUACAAAACUCCUUUUCCCACUGUCAUUCUGACACAGAAGACACCUGUUGAAGUGCUUCAGAAAUUGCUCUAUUAGCCUAAUUUAAUAAACUAAACAUCUUUUCUCAAGGGGGAUUUUUUUGUAACAUCUUUGGUAAGUAAAUUAGAUAUUUUCAUUCACAAAUCAAGUUUGUCUAAUAUAGUUUUACUUAAAAUUAAGAAAAUAUCAAGGCUGCCAUUUGGCAACUCUGUAGCACUAUGGAAAAAUAGGUGCAUUGCCAUAUGGCAUCACUGUACCACAGUGGAAUUGCAGUAAUGUAUUUCCCCACUGGGAUUUUUUAUAGAUAGUAGCAUCAAUAAAAUUAUUACAUUUAUUGAUUUGAAGUGUUUAUUGUAGUAUAGUUAGUAUAGCAAUAUUUUUAUGGAAAGGCCAAUCAGACGAGUGCAGAGUUGGCCUGUCAUGGAGAAGAAAGACUGCAGGGGGAUCGUGCAUGAAGUGCAGCAAAUGUGACUUGCACCUUUGCAUCACAUUUGAAAGGAACUGCUUUUUGCAGUUUCACGGGAUGUCAUGAAAUGUCAUGAGUUGGAUUGAGACAGGUGCACAUGGAUGGACUGGGAAAACACACACUUUACUUCAGGGAGCUGCCUAUUGGUGUUUGAAUCGCAGGCAUAUCUACAGGCAGCUGCGUCCCAGCCGUCAGCAUGUCUGGCACUGCUACAGUCCUGCAGCAGUUUGUGAGUGGCCUUAAGAGUCGAAAUUAAGAUACACAGGCCAAAAGCUGCCAAAGACCUCCAGCAUUAUGUUACCACAGAACUAAGAGAGUGAGCUUGAUUGGUGUGGAAGGAGGAAAUGCCACCCGUAUCAGCCGUUUUGCCAACUACAUGCAGAACCUGAUUUCCACCAGUGACUCAGUGGUCAUGGAGAUGGCUUCUAUGACAAUCGGUCACCUGUCUAUGGCUGGAGACACCUUCACUGCAGAGUAUGUGGAGUUUGAGGUGAAGAGAGCUCUAGAAUGCCUGGGAGCAGACAGGAAUAAGGGCAGACGGCAUGCAGCGCAGGUGCAGCCAUUUUUUGACAACAUUUUCAAUGCUGUGUGGGACUCCAAACAGCCGAUCCGUGAGGGAGCAGUAUCUGCACUCAGAGCCGGUCUGAUCCUCACUACGAAAGAGAUGCAGAAACCACAGUGGUACAAGGUCAGAAUUGAAUCACCUUUUGAGCAAGUACAUAACCAGCCAGUGUUCAAAACUAUCGCCUUACUUUAGCCCGAUUCACAAUGAUAAGCUUAUAAUAAUAUUUUCUAAUUUGAGUAGUAUUGGGUAGGUUUCCACAGGAAAUUAAAGCAUUGGCACUGCGUCAUUACGUCACAUCUGUAAACAUAAAGAAGUUGUCCCGGUUACUAGGCUAUAGUAUGUGAGGAUCCUGCAGGUGGAAUAUCAUUUAUAGCCUUUUCUCACAGCAGCUAGAAUAAUACAUUUGUAUCAUUUUGAUGGCAGAUUGUAAUCCAGAAAGGAUUAUGUGUUUAUGAAACACAUGUGAAUGAAAUUAAAUGAUAUGGUAGUUUUUAAAUGUGCUCCUGAUUACAUAUGGCUUGGGAUUACACAAGAUCUGUAUUUUAAAGACAACCAGUUUGAAGGGAACGUAAUUUGCUUUUUGGGUUAAAAGAAUUGCUUAAUAUGAAGGUCGAAUGGUAUGACAAUUAGAGAUUAGACUGUACAGAAACUGAAAUUAAAUGCUGAUACACACUAUACACAUAGCCACAUAAUGCUGAUGUUGUUAAUGUUGUUUGAGAAUAAAGUUGAACAUUAAUAAUAAUUUGCACAGUUUGAUGUCUAAUCGAUUAUCACACUUCAUCUCCAUUUGGUAGCAUGAUAUAUUGUAAUGCUUUUUUCCUGAGUUGGUCAGAACAAAUGUGGUAGACUUGUUGCUUACGUGGUUGGAUGACACUAUGCAGGGAAAAAAUCUUAUUUGCGUCAUAUAUUUCAAGAUGUAAGAUAGAAUCUGUGUUUAUGAAGUAUAGUAAAUCAGGGGCGAGGCCUGAAAUAUUUAAAUGAGUGGCCCUACAUAAAACUGGGUGGGCAAAGUGUAGCAUUUGAAAACUGCAUAUCUUAUGUCAACAGAAAAUACAGCACAAAUAUUCAAUACACAAUACUACUAAAGCACUGAAUAAAUUAAUUUUAAUUUCAGCAUUUACUAAUACAUUAUUAAAACUAAGUUUUAUAUGUUAACAGUACCUGAGCUAAUAAAGAAACGUUGAAAUUUUAUCAGUCAACAAAUGUAUUUCUCAUUGUUAAUGUUAGUUAAUGCAUUGACAAAUAUUAACUAAAGUUUACUGUAUGCAGAGCAUUACCUUCUUAGAUGAUGUGGCUUCGCAGAUUAUCUCAUAAUCAACUGUCUCUGUUCGCAUUUAAAGGAGAGUAAAUAUCGAGAACUUUAGAAAUGAGCGCAGCUGCAAAUAUGCAGUUUGUUGUGGAGAAGAGUAUCUAGCACAAUGUUUAUUUUUUCUUUACUUUACACAAAGAAUGCAUCUGUUUAGCGAGUCGAACACUGUAACUAUGGUAAUAUGAUGCUUUAAACACGUUUGGCUCAGAAGUUUUUAAUUUAUAAAUCCAUCACCCGCUGGUCUGGUUGCAUUUUUUUCACUAUUUUCAAACAUGCGCGUCCUCACAUAGUUAACAUAAUUGUGGGUGGGACUAACAGAAACUGACCAAUCAUUAUUUUGACAAGUAUAUGGUAAGCACCUAUAGAAAGAUGGAAAAUUAAUAAACUGCCUGUAAUUGACCAUGAAAACUCACGUUAAGUAUAUUUUAAAGCAUAUACAGUAUACACAACCAUUGCCCACCCGGGCCAACCCUUAGCUUCGCCACUGCAGUAAAUAUCCACACCGGUGCAGUGACUGACUGCCACACAUACUCAUCAAAACAUUAGAUUAAUCCAUGCUACAGCCGUGCCAGCACAUAACCCAGCAAGGAAGAUAAUUCCGCACACAGCUGCAAUUGCAGGUUUUCAAACAGAGAUGGCGACAAACAGGUAAAACGUACGGACUGCAGCUUUGAAUAUGUGUGCCUGUGUUUAUUAUGGGUAUGGGCCCUCACACAUUACAUGCGUUUUGUUGUCAUAAACUACAAAAAAUUGAGGAAGCCGUGAGGGGUUUUGAUGAGACUCUGGCUAAAAAGAAAGGCAUGAAUAAGGAUGGCCGUGUCCUACACCAAUCGGAGUGCAAUUUCAAGCCGCACACACCUCUGACUGCAUAACCAGGGCAGUGCAGCAUAUGUGUCGAACAUAUGAAUAAAUCAGUCUGUAUAAUGAAAAUUUACCUCAGUAGAACGUAUGCAUGGGUUUUGCAUGGGUUUGAGCCUGUUUACAAACCUGUUGUCAAACAAGGAGAACAAUUGUCAUGUUUUUGACAAAACUCUUAAGUUAUUAAGUUAUUUCAUAACUUAGGUCAAGUGUUUGAAACUUUUUGUGAUCUGGCAUGGAUUCACAUCACAGA